rnacentral:rRNA from 1 species
AUUGAACGCUGGCGGCAGGCCUAACACAUGCAAGUCGAGCGGAUGAAGGGAGCUUGCUCCUGGAAUCAGCGGCGGACGGGUGAGUAAUGCCUAGGAAUCUGCCUGGUAGUGGGGGAUAACGUCCGGAAACGGGCGCUAAUACCGCAUACGUCCUGCGGGAGAAAGUGGGUGAUCUUCGGACCUCACGCUAUCAGAUGAGCCUAGGUCGGAGUAGCUAGUUGGUGGGGUAAAGGCCUACCAGGGCGACGAUCCGUAACUGGGCUGAGAGGAUGAUCAGUCACACUGGGACUGAAACACGGUCCAGAGUCCUACGGGAGGCAGCAGUGGGGAAGAGUGGACGAUGGGCGGAAGCCUGCUCCAGCGAUGCAGCGUGUGUGAAGAAGGUCUUCGGAUGGUAAAGAACUUUAAGGUGGGAGGAAGGGCAGUAAGUGAAUACCUUGCUGUUUUGACGUUACCAACAGAAUAAGCACCGGCUAACUUCGUG